rnacentral:rRNA from 1 species
GACGAACGCUGGCGGCGUGCCUAACACAUGCAAGUCGAACGGUAAGGCCUUCGGGUACACGAGUGGCGAACGGGUGAGUAACACGUGGGUGAUCUGCCCCCUACUCUGGGAUAAGCCUGGGAAACUGGGUCUAAUACUGGAUAUGACCUCUUACUGCAUGGUUUGGGGUGGAAAGUUUUUCGGUAGGGGAUGAGCCCGCGGCCUAUCAGCUUGUUGGUGGGGUAAUGGCCUACCAAGGCGACGACGGGUAGCCGGCCUGAGAGGGCGACCGGCCACACUGGGACUGAGACACGGCCCAGACUCCUACGGGAGGCAGCAGUGGGGAAUAUUGCACAAUGGGCGGAAGCCUGAUGCAGCGACGCCGCGUGGGGGAUGACGGCCUUCGGGUUGUAAACCUCUUUCAGUAGGGACGAAGUGUGAGUGACGGUACCUAUAGAAGAAGCACCGGCCAACUACGUGCCAGCCGCCGCCGUAAUAC